GUGACUGCGUACCUUUUGUAUAAUGGGUCAGCGACUUAUAUUCUGUAGCAAGGUUAACCGAAUAGGGGAGCCGAAGGGAAACCGAGUCUUAACUGGGCGUUAAGUUGCAGGGUAUAGACCCGAAACCCGGUGAUCUAGCCAUGGGCAGGUUGAAGGUUGGGUAACACUAACUGGAGGACCGAACCGACUAAUGUUGAAAAAUUAGCGGAUGACUUGUGGCUGGGGGUGAAAGGCCAAUCAAACCGGGAGAUAGCUGGUUCUCCCCGAAAGCUAUUUAGGUAGCGCCUCGUGAAUUCAUCUCCGGGGGUAGAGCACUGUUUCGGCAAGGGGGUCAUCCCGACUUACCAACCCGAUGCAAACUGCGAAUACCGGAGAAUGUUAUCACGGGAGACACACGGCGGGUGCUAACGUCCGUCGUGAAGAGGGAAACAACCCAGACCGCCAGCUAAGGUCCCAAAGUCAUGGUUAAGUGGGAAACGAUGUGGGAAGGCCCAGACAGCCAGGAUGUUGGCUUAGAAGCAGCCAUCAUUUAAAGAAAGCGUAAUAGCUCACUGGUCGAGUCGGCCUGCGCGGAAGAUGUAACGGGGCUAAACCAUGCACCGAAGCUGCGGCAGCGACGCUUAUGCGUUGUUGGGUAGGGGAGCGUUCUGUAAGCCUGUGAAGGUGUGCUGUGAGGCAUGCUGGAGGUAUCAGAAGUGCGAAUGCUGACAUAAGUAACGAUAAAGCGGGUGAAAAGCCCGCUCGCCGGAAGACCAAGGGUUCCUGUCCAACGUUAAUCGGGGCAGGGUGAGUCGACCCCUAAGGCGAGGCCGAAAGGCGUAGUCGAUGGGAAACAGGUUAAUAUUCCUGUACUUGGUGUUACUGCGAAGGGGGGACGGAGAAGGCUAUGUUGGCCGGGCGACGGUUGUCCCGGUUUAAGCGUGUAGGCUGGUUUUCCAGGCAAAUCCGGAAAAUCAAGGCUGAGGCGUGAUGACGAGGCACUACGGUGCUGAAGCAACAAAUGCCCUGCUUCCAGGAAAAGCCUCUAAGCAUCAGGUAACAUCAAAUCGUACCCCAAACCGACACAGGUGGUCAGGUAGAGAAUACCAAGGCGCUUGAGAGAACUCGGGUGAAGGAACUAGGCAAAAUGGUGCCGUAACUUCGGGAGAAGGCACGCUGAUAUGUAGGUGAAGUCCCUUGCGGAUGGAGCUGAAAUCAGUCGAAGAUACCAGCUGGCUGCAACUGUUUAUUAAAAACACAGCACUGUGCAAACACGAAAGUGGACGUAUACGGUGUGACGCCUGCCCGGUGCCGGAAGGUUAAUUGAUGGGGUCAGCGCAAGCGAAGCUCUUGAUCGAAGCCCCGGUAAACGGCGGCCGUAACUAUAACGGUCCUAAGGUAGCGAAAUUCCUUGUCGGGUAAGUUCCGACCUGCACGAAUGGCGUAAUGAUGGCCAGGCUGUCUCCACCCGAGACUCAGUGAAAUUGAACUCGCUGUGAAGAUGCAGUGUACCCGCGGCAAGACGGAAAGACCCCGUGAACCUUUACUAUAGCUUGACACUGAACAUUGAGCCUUGAUGUGUAGGAUAGGUGGGAGGCUUUGAAGUGUGGACGCCAGUCUGCAUGGAGCCGACCUUGAAAUACCACCCUUUAAUGUUUGAUGUUCUAACGUGGACCCGUGAUCCGGGUUGCGGACAGUGUCUGGUGGGUAGUUUGACUGGGGCGGUCUCCUCCUAAAGAGUAACGGAGGAGCACGAAGGUUGGCUAAUCCUGGUCGGACAUCAGGAGGUUAGUGCAAUGGCAUAAGC
rnacentral:rRNA from 1 species